GGUUAAUUGAUGGGGUUAGCUUCGGCGAAGCUCUUGAUCGAAGCCCCAGUAAACGGCGGCCGUAACUAUAACGGUCCUAAGGUAGCGAAAUUCCUUGUCGGGUAAGUUCCGACCUGCACGAAUGGCGUAACGAUGGCCACACUGUCUCCACCCGAGACUCAGUGAAAUUGAAUUUGCGGUUAAGAUGCCGUAUACCCGCGGCUAGACGGAAAGACCCCGUGCACCUUUACUACAGCUUUGCACUGGACUUUGAUUUUACCUGUGUAGGAUAGGUGGGAGACUUUGAAGCGCUGUCGCUAGAUAGCGUGGAGUCGACCUUGAAAUACCACCCUGGUAACGUUGAGGUUCUAACUUCGGUCCCUUAUCGGGAUUAAGGACAGUGUAUGGUGGGUAGUUUGACUGGGGCGGUCUCCUCCCAAAGAGUAACGGAGGAGCGCGAAGGUACCCUCAGCAUGGUCGGAAAUCAUGCAACGAGUGCAAUAGCAGAAGGGUGCUUGACUGCGAGACAGACACGUCGAGCAGGUACGAAAGUAGGUCAUAGUGAUCCGGUGGUUCUGUAUGGAAGGGCCAUCGCUCAACGGAUAAAAGGUACUCCGGGGAUAACAGGCUGAUACCGCCCAAGAGUUCACAUCGACGGCGGUGUUUGGCACCUCGAUGUCGGCUCAUCACAUCCUGGGGCUGAAGCCGGUCCCAAGGGUAUGGCUGUUCGCCAUUUAAAGUGGUACGCGAGCUGGGUUUAGAACGUCGUGAGACAGUUCGGUCCCUAUCUGCCGUGGGCGUUUGAGAAUUGAGAGGAGCUGCUCCUAGUACGAGAGGACCGGAGUGGACGAACCUCUGGUGUUCCGGUUGUCACGCCAGUGGCAUUGCCGGGUAGCUACGUUCGGACAGGAUAACCGCUGAAAGCAUCUAAGCGGGAAGCCCCCUUCAAGAUGAGAUCUCACAGGACUUUAAGUCCCUAAAGAGCCGUUCAAGACUAGGACGUUGAUAGGUUGGGUGUGUAAGCACGGUAACGUGUUGAGCUAACCAAUACUAAUUGCUCGUGAGGCUUGACCAU
rnacentral:rRNA from 1 species